rnacentral:misc_RNA from 1 species
UUCUUCCCAAACCAUGUUCCUAUAAGAUAUUCCUCCUUGUCUUCUCCUGGAUAUGAAUAUUGAAAAAUAUAGCAGUCUCCACCAUAAAAUUUUGAAUGAUCUGAAGCGUCAAGGAGAACCUUGUCCUUGCCAUCCACACGCCAAACCUGCAGAUUUCCUGUGACAUCAAUAUACGGUUGAGGUUCUUCCUUUGCAGGAGCAGCUUUCAAAAGGCCCUUGACAUUUCCCCCCUGCCGUCUUAGAAGUGCUGCAACUUUGCCUCUACCAUCCUCAGACACAGCUACAUCAGUUGUCUCUGGCCAUGAUUCAAACUUUGACCGAAACAUCACUGUCUCGAAACCCUCGAUUACACGAAUAAUGUGGGACUUUGGUCGAUCAGCUCCACGGACUAACUCCUCUGCAGCUCCACUUGCAACCUUUCUUUCAUCAAGUGAGGUAUUUCUCCCCAUCCAUACAAACACUUCCAAUCCACAAUCUAGAAUAUAGCACUUGUAUGUGUCUAGUAAUUCCCUUGUCAAAGAAUCUGUAUCAACAGGUUCUGCCUGCCCCUUCUCAACCCAAAACAGCUUAGUCGGAGAAUCAGCUAUCUUAUCCUCAUCAGUUGUUGUUUUCCUAGGAAGUGGAGCAAAACCGCCAAAGAAACCCCAGAAUUCCCCAGUGUCAGCAUCAGCCAUCAAUUUCCCAUCCUCAAUGGCAGCUACGUCGCACUUUCCAUCAUGAUAAGUAUCCUUAAUGUACUGGACUACUUCUAAAGCUUUAGCUCUCUCUUGGAUAGAUGAGUUGGAACCAUUAAAUUGAAAAAUUUUUGACUUGGUAUCAAGAAUAAAAAUAUCAUCAUGGCUGAGUGAGGAUCGAGCAAAAGGAACCUCUUUUACAUGAACAAC